CAAUAGCGUAUAUUAAAGUUGUUGCAGUUAAAAAGCUCGUAGUUGGAUUUCUGGUGGGAGCGAUCGGUCUGGCGCUUAGCGCGAGUACUUGCAUCGUCUCCGGCCAUCCUUGGGGAGAGUCUGUCUGGCAUUAAGUUGUCGGGCAGAGGAUCCUCAUCGUUUACUGUGAAAAAAUUAGAGUGUUCAAAGCAGGCUUAUGCCGUUGAAUAUAUUAGCAUGGAAUAAUAAGAUAGGACUUUGGUACUAUUUUGUUGGUUUGCGCACCAAAGUAAUGAUUAAUAGGGACAGUUGGGGGUAUUCGUAUUCCGUUGUCAGAGGUGAAAUUCUUGGAUUUACGGAAGACGAACUACUGCAAAAGCAUUUACCAAGGAUGUUUUCAUUAA
rnacentral:rRNA from 1 species